rnacentral:rRNA from 1 species
UACGUAGGGGGCAAGCGUUGUCCGGAUUUAUUGGGCGUAAAGAGCGUGUAGGCGGCCAGGUAGGUCUGGUGUGAAAACUCGAGGCUUAACCUCGAGAUGUCAUCGGAAACCAUCUGGCUAGAGUCCGGAAGAGGAGAGUGGAAUUCCUGGUGUAGCGGUGAAAUGCGCAGAUAUCAGGAAGAACACCAAUGGCGAAAGCAGCUCUCUGGGACGGUACUGACGCUGAGACGCGAAAGCGUGGGGAGCGAACAGGG